AACAACUCUCAGCAACGGAUAUCUUGGCUCUUGCAACGAUGAAGAACGCAGCGAAAUGCGAUACGUAGUGUGAAUUGCAGAAUUCCGCGAAUCAUCGAGUCUUUGAACGCAAGUUGCGCCCGAGGCUUGUCCGAGGGCAUUUCCGCUAGAGCGUCACC
rnacentral:rRNA from 2 species